rnacentral:rRNA from 1 species
UACGUAGGGUGCAAGCGUUAAUCGGAAUUACUGGGCGUAAAGCGUGCGCAGGCGGCUUUGCAAGACAGAUGUGAAAUCCCCGGGCUUAACCUGGGAAUGGCAUUUGGGACUGCAAGGCUUGAGUGCGGCAGAGGAGACUAGAAUUCCUGGUGUAGCAGUGAAAUGCGUAGAUAUCAGGAGGAAUACCGAUGGCGAAGGCAGGUCUCUGGGCUGACACUGACGCUCAUGCACGAAAGCGUGGGGAGCAAACAGG